UCCGAGCUGCUUCCCUCAGUUUACCAUUCCCGCCUGGUGCCUAAAAAGUCUGAGUUUGUGAACUCAGCUCUAAAUUUCCCUUCCUGUCUUUGUUACCUAUCGUUCACGCUGGAAUGAAUGGAAAAGGCUUGAAGGAAAGCCUGCCAGCCGCUCAGCUUGACUUUGCAAGGGGGAUCACCACAGAGAUAGAAGUCUACCUCUGUUGCUCAAGCUGGUCUUGAACUCCAGGCCCCAAGUGAUCCUCCUGCCUCAGCCUCCCAACUUGCUGGAUUACAGGCAUGAGCUGCUGCACCUGCCCAAGUACUGCAUCUUAAAGAACCAUCCCACAGAAUUUGAGGCGUUAUGAACUGAACUUUAUUUUUUCCAACCUAAACCAAUCAUCCUGCAUUGGGAUGGAUGGAUUGAGGGAAAGAUCAUGGUACCAGAUCUGCAGGCAGCUGGGGACAGAAGUCUUCACUUGCACGGGUGGUGAGAGCAGAACUGAGAAGGUGGGGUCAACUUUAAAGAUGGGCAUUUCCAAGGACACGGAGUGUUGAGCAUUGAGUCCAUUGGGAGGACUCCAAACGCCAGGCUCCAGAGAUCCAAAUUUGUAGAAUCGCAUGAAUCCCAAGAAAUCAC